rnacentral:lncRNA from 8 species
AUGGGAAACCGACGGAGGAAGAGAGGGCGCGAACACAGAGAUUCUUAUGGGUUUAUUAAGAUCUCUGAGCUGCUGACCCAACUGGCUGUGAGAACCACACCCCCUAAUGGGGCCCUCCCCCGUAACGUCAGCCUCCUCCCCUCCUUCACCCUCCCCUCGGUCCGAGAAACGACCGCCACCACCCGCUCCAAGGCCCAGCUCCCAGAAUGCAUCACGAGACUCUCAGACACCCAGUGUCGGAAGUGGUACCACCAGAGACAAGCCACGCCCUUCUCCGCCUCUAACCCCACCCCAGCCCUUAACCCUAGGCCUGCCCCCAACACCCCGGGACACACCACUGCUCCCGCCUCCGCCAAUAGCAGCCAACCAGGGAGAGAGAGACCCAGCCUGGUUUCCUCUGAUUUGUUUUUCCUGCCCUAUCUUGUGGCAAGGGAGACUGCGAAGGGCUGUGAUUCGCUGUCAUUGGUGAGGGAUCUGUUCCAGAGGGGUGAGGUAUGUAACGUUGAGGGGAUUCUAUUAUUGCUCCUGGUGACCCGGGUUAGCGUUGAUUUAUGCCCCGAGCCUGCCCCAGGUUAAGGUGACGCAAAUUUGGGUUUGCUCCUAGCAGAACUCGGCUAGACGAAGGGAAUGUCUGUGCCUCGCAUCACUGAAAAUACCUCAGCAGCCAUAUUAAUGUUUGUCCCUCUUGAGACGUCGUAGUAACAACGUAUCCGGUAUGCACUUCCUCAAAAUAGUUUGGAUGAGUCUAAGGUAAAUCGAUACAUUUUUAAUAAAUGUUUGCAUUUGCCAAGGAGGUCUUCGUAGCGCAAUUUUACAUCUAAGAUGUUUGGUGCAGUAUUUCUCAAAUUAAAAAAUUUGCACAAAAACUAGUUGUUGAAUGACAACAGGUGAAAAAAAAAAAAACUGCCAAACUUCAUCAUUACAUUUACAUUUUUGUCAUUUAGCAGACGCUCUCAUCCAGAGCGACUUACAGUAGUGAAUGCAUACAUUUCAUUUCAUGCAUUUUUUUAGUUUUGAAUUUCUUUAAUUUUUUUUGUACUGGCCCCCCUGUGGGAAUCGAACCCACAACCCUGGCGUUGCACACACCAUGCUGGCGUUGCAAACACCAUGCUCUACCAACUGAGCCACAGGGAAUCAUCAUGUAUGCGCAAACUGUUGACUGGGAGGCAGGCAUAGUGGCAGUUUGACUGGGAGGCAGUGGUAGUUUGACUGGGAGGCAGUGGUAGUUUGAGCAUGUACAUCUUGGUGGGGGGGGUGCAUGCCAGCAAAGCCACAACACAACACUAAGCAAUACAUUAAUUGCACGAUAUCGGUGACAAACAGUGCCCACAAACUGUUAGGGCCUACAUAUAGCUGUCCCCACAGCAGAGUACCAACACCUGUUCCAACACCUUACCACUGCUACACCUGGUUAUCAGCAGAGCCUUGUCUGACAGCCAAACAGUUCAUUCAGCCUCAUUUACUACCUUAAAAAAAAAACAUGGCUGAUUUGGCUGACUUGCUUAAACAAAUGUGGUUUCUACUGACAGUUGAGAUGUACAAACUAUGGCAUAAGGGGACGACAAGCGGAUAAGAAGCAAUCCGUAAUUUCGAUUAAGACAUUCAUUGAUGAGCUAGGACGGACGUAGUCAAUAUAACUAUUUGUUCAUGUACAACGACAGAAUUCUUAGUGUUCUCCCUGUACACCAAGUCAGAACCGUAGGAUAAAUAAAGGGAGCAUAUAAGCAAACCAUGAAAGCUCAUACAAUAUUCGAUAAUUAAAUUUUUCUAAAAUAGGCUAUAGGCUACAUGUGCACCACCAAGUCAGAACAGUAGGUGAAAUUUAAGAGGGGUAAAUUGACCAAAUUAUUAGGGUGAGGCAAAUGGGCUACUAACAGCUUACUACACAACAUAGACUUAGUAUUACUUUCUUAGGUACAGUAUACAUAUCUCCCUGGCAUAUUACAUAAUUUAUGCAGCAAGACAUUUUUGGACUCACCUUGUUGUGCUGUGCUCACUUGAACAGGAAGGUGGUGUGGCAUUCCUUCGUGGUCAAUGUUUGUCAUCAGAGUUUGGCAUUCUCCUGGAUUUCUGGGGGGGGGAACAAGGUCGAAUCAUGAUGUCAGUGAAUUUCAGGUCGUAGCUCUAGAAAAAGGCCACAGAUCCCAACUUACAAUUCCGAGUUGGAUGACCGUUCAAAACUUAUUUUGCCAGUCUGAGCUCGUUUUUUUCCCAGAGUUCCCAGUUGUCUUGAACUCACUAGAAAUCGAGUUUCCAGUUGUUUUGAGCGCAGCAGAAAUCAUGCUGGAUUGACAGCAUGGCCAAUGUUGAAUGUUUAUGAUUUUAAUCUUGGAAAAGAGACCCUUAAACCCAGAAUUGGGACCACACACCCACUCUACUGAAUAGCAGGCUAGUGAUUGCUUUGCAAUGUUUGCAGUUAGCCACUGUUUCCUUCCAAACCAACUUGUGUAAUGUUCAAUGGCCGAUGAGCACCAAUACGUUUUAUCUAUAAGUUCUCUUUAUUAUUUCUCUUCAUAUGACAAGGAUUUGGCAGUAGAUUGUCGACUUGAUUCAUGAUGAUGACUGUUAGCUAAGAUUUUGAAAGUAUGAUGUUGACAUGAUCAGUCCAAUCAAAGCUACUGUAGAUAUAACGUGAUUAGAUGUAGUUUUAUCUGUGGCCAAUGACCUUGAGCUUUCUUGGAUGGGCACUUCUAAAUGUAAGUCUAUGGCAGCACCCAAGGGGCUUGAAUUUUAGAAGCGCUACCCUUAGACUUGGCAGUGACGUAGUGUCCCCAUGAGUGACAGAACACUGAGCCAAUCACUGCGCAACUAGAGAACAUUACCAACCCCUACGCUCCGUAUUUCCCGCUGCCUGCCCCACCACCACAGAAAGCACUGAGCUGGGCUGAAACAGCUGCAUUUUGGAGCUGCUUUACUCAAGAAAACAAAAAAGAGACCAUGUUUGUAUGGAGGCUUUAUUAACUAAAUACAUGUUUUCCUUUGUUUGCAAACUGAUGUGACAAGUGCCAAAAUGACAUGCAAAAUAGGCUACCCCCCCCCCCCAACAAAAAAAUGUAUUUUAUUUUUAUUUAGCAAACAAUGUGGGGCUCAGAACUGAAUGACGGGUCGCCAGUGAGCAUGCGACAGGCUUUAGCGUUGAUUAAGGCCCCAGGCCUUCCCCUGGUUAGUGUUAAUUAAUGCCCCGGGCCUUCCCCUAGUUAGUGUUAAUUAAGGCCCCAGGCCUUCCCCUAGUUAGUGUUAAUUAAGGCCCCAGGCCUUCCCCUAGUUAGUGUUAAUUAAUGCCCCGGGCCUUCCCCUGGUUAGUGUUAAUUAAUGCCCCGGGCCUUCCCCUAGUUAGUGUUAAUUAAGGCCCCAGGCCUUCCCCUAGUUAGUGUUAAUUAAUGCCCCGGGCCUUCCCCUAGUUAGUGUUAAUUAAUGCCCCGGGCCUUCCCCUAGUUAGUGUUAAUUAAUGCCCCGGGCCUUCCCCUAGUUAGUGUUAAUUAAUGCCCCAGGCCUUCCCCUAGUUAGUGUUAAUUAAUGCCCCGGGCCUUCCCCUAGUUAGUGUUAAUUAAUGCCCCAGGCCUUCCCCUAGUUAGUGUUAAUUAAUGCCCCGGGCCUUCCCCUAGUUAGUGUUAAUUAAUGCCCCGGGCCUUCCCCUAGUUAGUGUUAAUUAAUGCCCCAGGCCUUCCCCUGGUUAGUGUUAAUUAAUGCCCCGGGCCUUCCCCUGGUUAGUGUUGAUUAAAACCCAGAACUUUCCCGGGUGGAGCCAGGUUCCCCGUUUUUGGCUGACGGCGAAGUCGACUCAAUACAAAAGUGAUGUGGGUUAAUCACGUGGAGUAAUGAGUAGGAUUUGAUGUGAUUGCUGUUGAUUUAAAAAAGGCUUGAUCUGACUUCCCAAUGAAAACUAUUUUGAAAAUGUUAACAUAUUUUAUAGAAAAUGUUUCUGGACGAUGCACCAUGUUGCCUUGUUGACAACAUGACCGAGCAGGCACAGAUUACUGUUCUAUGCUCCUCCUUCACCGCUUUUACCAGAUCAAGUCAUGGGCUAUACCUUGACUUAAUCUGGUAACCUUAAUUUAAGGUUACCUGGUAACCUUAACUUCCUCGAUGUCUCCAGUAGGACCGACCUAAUACUUUUUUUAAAUUCUCAAAUAAAUGCAAUCAAUCAAUUCAGGUGUGUCCAGACAUCCUGGGGGUGAAGGAGUGGUCGAGCCAGAGACCUGCUGCCUGGACCAAGGAUACAGCAGUAGCACAACAACGCAUGUCGAUAGAACCUGGUAAGCCCAACAUGGUACUCAGUGUUUUCCCUGGGGUGAAAAUGUUGCUGUUUUUGAAAGUGUACUUCCUGCAAUUGUACACACAUUACACCACCGUAUACUGUAUCUAAAUGACAACAUGUAUAAUACCACCAUACAUACGUGUGUUGUCUCCUCACUGUUCCAUAAGGUGCAGUUUUAGUUUUUAAAAUAAUUUUGUUUAAAAUACUUGCAUGAGUUAAUUGAUGUGCAAUAGAGUUUCAUGUAGUCAUGGCUCUAUGUAGUACUGUGCACCUCCCAUAGUCUGUUCUGGACUUGGGGACUGUGAAGAGACCUCCUGUGGCAUGUCUUGUGGGGUAUGUAUGGGUGUCUGAGCUGUGUACUAGUCGUUUGAACAGACACCUCGGUGCAUUCAACAUCUCAAUACCUCUAAGACAUGGGGCGGGGGCCUAUGCAUUUAUGUAAACAGGUAGAGUAUCUCAUGAUAAGCUGUAGACCACACUAUCUUCCUAGAAAGUUUUCAUCUGUAUUUUUCGUAGCUGUCUGCAUACCACCACAGAGCGAGGUUGACACUAAAACCGCACUAAAUGAGCUGUAUUCCAUAAGCAAACGGUGAAACGCUCAUACAGAGGCGGCGCUCCUAGUGGCUGGGGACUUUAAUGCAGGGAAACUUAAAUCAGUUUUACCUCAUUUCUAUCAGCAUGUCACAUGUGCAACCAGAGGGAAAAAAAUUCUAGACCAUUUACAUUUACAUUUAAGUCAUUUAGCAGAUGCUCUUAUCCAGAGCGACUUACAAAUUGGUGCAUUCACCUUAUGAUAUCCAGUGGAACAACCACUUUACAAUAGUGCAUCUAAAUCUUUUAA